UACGAAGGGUGCAAGCGUUACUCGGAAUUACUGGGCGUAAAGCGUGCGUAGGUGGUGAGUUAAGUCUGUCGUGAAAGCCCCGGGCUCAACCUGGGAAUGGCGAUGGAUACUGGCUCGCUAGAGUGCGGUAGAGGAGAGUGGAAUUCCCGGUGUAGCAGUGAAAUGCGUAGAGAUCGGGAGGAACAUCAGUUGCGAAGGCGGCUCACUGGACCGGUACUGACGCUGAGGCGCGAAAGCGUGGGGAGCAAACAGG
rnacentral:rRNA from 1 species